UACGUAGGGUGCAAGCGUUAUCCGGAAUUAUUGGGCGUAAAGAGCUCGUAGGCGGUUUGUCGCGUCUGCUGUGAAAACCGGAGGCUCAACCUCCGGCCUGCAGUGGGCACGGGCAGACUAGAGUGCGGUAGGGGAGAUUGGAAUUCCUGGUGUAGCGGUGAAAUGCGCAGAUAUCAGGAGGAACACCGGUGGCGAAGGCGGGUCUCUGGGCCGUAACUGACGCUGAGGAGCGAAAGCAUGGGGAGCGAACAGG
rnacentral:rRNA from 1 species